UUUGUGCUUCAGGAUAGCUGUCAGAAAACUUCGGUUUUCAUCCGAAAGGGGCGGUAAUACUGAAUAAUAUCAUGUUAUGACAGUAAUACGAUCAAAGAUUUAUCGGCAUAUGAGCGGCCUAUUUCCUAUCAGCUAGUUGGUGAGGUAAAAGCUCACCAAGGCAACGACGGGUAGCGGGACUGAGAGGUUGACCCGCAACAUCGGGACUGAGACACUGCCCGGACCUCCACGGAGGGCUGCAGUAACGAAUAUUGCGCAAUGGGCGAAAGCCUGACGCAGCGACGCCGCGUGUAGGAUGAAGUCUCUCGGGAUGUAAACUACUGUCAGGGGGAAGAAAGUGCGCUUCGGCGUAUUGAUCUACCCCAGAGGAAGUCACGGCUAACUUCGUGCCAGCAGCCGCGGUAAGACGAAGGUGGCGAGCGUUGUUCGGUGUUACUGGGCUUAAAGCGUGUGUAGGCGGAAUGGUAAGCGUCUUGUGAAAUCCCUCAGCUCAACUGAGGAAUUGCUUGGCGAACUGCUGUUCUUGAGGCAAGUAGGGGUGCAUGGAACUCUUGGUGGAGCGGUGGAAUGCGUAGAUAUCAAGAGGAACGCCGAUGGAGAAAUCAGUGCACUGGGCUUGUCCUGACGCUGAGACACGAAAGCGUGGGGAGCGAACGGGAUUAGAUACCCCGGUAGUCCACGCUGUAAA
rnacentral:rRNA from 1 species